AGACGGAGGGCGCAAGCGUUGUUCGGAAUUACUGGGCGUAAAGGGCAGGUAGGUGGUCUGUUAAGUCUUCUGUGAAAAUCCGGGGCUCAACCCCGCGAAAUGCAGGUGAAACUGGCAGACUGGAGACCGGUAGAGGCUAGCGGAAUUCCUGGUGUAGCGGUGGAAUGCGUAGAUAUCAGGAAGAACACCUGUGGCGAAGGCGGCUAGCUGGGCCGGUACUGACACUAAACUGCGAAAGCGUGGGGAGCAAACAGGAUUAGAUACCCCGGUAGUCC
rnacentral:rRNA from 1 species